GCGUAAGAGCUCGAUAGGUCGUUUGUCGCGUCGAUUGUGAAAAUCUGAGGCUCAACCUCAGACCUGCAGUCGAUACGGGCAAACUAGAGUUUGGUAGGGGAGACUGGAAUUCCUGGUGUAGCGGUGGAAUGCGCAGAUAUCAGGAGGAACACCAAUGGCGAAGGCAGGUCUCUGGGCCAAUACUGACACUGAGGAGCGAAAGUCUGGGGAGCGAACAGGAUUAGAUACCCUGGUAGUCCAGACCGUAAACGGUGGGCACUAGUUGUGGGAACCUUCCACGGUUUCUGCGACGCAGCUAACGCAUUAAGUGCCCCGCCUGGGGAGUACGAUCGCAAGAUUAAAACUCAAAGGAAUUGACGGGGCCCCGCACAAGCAGCGGAGCAUGCGGCUUAAUUCGACGCAACGCGAAGAACCUUACCAAGGCUUGACAUAUAGGGAAAAGUGGCAGAGAUGUCAUGUCCGCAAGGGCUCUAUACAGGUGGUGCAUGGUUGUCGUCAGCUCGUGUCGUGAGAUGUUGGGUUAAGUCCCGCAACGAGCGCAACCCUCGUUCUGUGUUGCCAGCAUUUAGUUGGGGACUCACAGGAGACUGUCGGGGUUAACUCGGAGGAAGGUGGGGAUGACGUCAAAUCAUCAUGCCCCUUAUGUCUUGGGCUGCACGCAUGCUACAAUGGCCGGUACAGAGGGCUGCAAUACCGUAAGGUGGAGCGAAUC
rnacentral:rRNA from 1 species